UACGGGGGGAGCAAGCGUUGUUCGGAUUUACUGGGCGUAAAGGGCGCGUAGGCGGCCAGCAAAAUUCAGUUGUGAAAUCUCCGAGCUUAACUCGGAAAGGUCAACUGAUACUGUGCGGCUAGAGUGCAGAAGGGGCAACUGGAAUUCUUGGUGUAGCGGUGAAAUGCGUAGAUAUCAAGAGGAACACCUGCGGCGAAGGCGGGUUGCUGGGCUGACACUGACGCUGAGGCGCGAAAGCUAGGGGAGCGAACGGG
rnacentral:rRNA from 1 species